AUUGAACGCUGGCGGCAGGCUUAACACAUGCAAGUCGAGCGGAGUGAUGGUGCUUGCACUAUCACUUAGCGGCGGACGGGUGAGUAAUGCUUAGGAAUCUGCCUAUUAGUGGGGGACAACAUCUCGAAAGGGAUGCUAAUACCGCAUACGUCCUACGGGAGAAAGCAGGGGAUCACUUGUGACCUUGCGCUAAUAGAUGAGCCUAAGUCGGAUUAGCUAGUUGGUGGGGUAAAGGCCUACCAAGGCGACGAUCUGUAGCGGGUCUGAGAGGAUGAUCCGCCACACUGGGACUGAGACACGGCCCAGACUCCUACGGGAGGCAGCAGUGGGGAAUAUUGGACAAUGGGGGGAACCCUGAUCCAGCCAUGCCGCGUGUGUGAAGAAGGCCUUAUGGUUGUAAAGCACUUUAAGCGAGGAGGAGGCUCUUUUGGUUAAUACCCAAGAUGAGUGGACGUUACUCGCAGAAUAAGCACCGGCUAACUACGUGCCAGCCGCCGCAGUAACAC
rnacentral:rRNA from 1 species